rnacentral:rRNA from 1 species
AGGACAAACGCUGGCGGCGUACCUAAGACAUGCAAGUCGAACGAGACUUUUGGCUUCGGCUGGGAGUCGAGUGGCGAACGGGUGAGUAACACGUAGGAACCUAUCAUGCAGUGGGGGAUACCGCUGGGAAACCGGCGCUAAUACCGCAUGUGGUCCCGGGAAACCGGGAAGAAAGCCUUUCGAGGCGCUGGAUGAGGGGCCUGUGGCCGAUUAGCUAGUUGGUGGGGUAACGGCCUACCAAGGCGACGAUCGGUAGCUGGU